rnacentral:rRNA from 1 species
AAAGAUGCUCGUUACGCGCAGCAGGACGGAAAGACCCCGGGACCUUUACUACAGCUUGGUAUUGGUGUUCGGUACGGCUUGUGUAGGAUAGGUGGGAGACUGUGAAGCAUGCACGCCAGUGUGUGUGGAGUCAACGUUGAAAUACCACUCUGGUCGUUCUGGAUAUCUAACCUCGGUCCGUGAUCCGGAUCAGGGACAGUGCCUGGUGGGUAGUUUAACUGGGGCGGUUGCCUCCUAAAAGGUAACGGAGGCGCCCAAAGGUUCCCUCAGCCUGGUUGGCAAUCAGGUUUUGAGUGUAAGUGCACAAGGGAGCUUGACUGUGAGACAGGCAUGUCGAGCAGGGACGAAAGUCGGGACUAGUGAUCCGGCGGUGGCUUGUGGAAGCGCCGUCGCUCAACGGAUAAAAGGUACCCCGGGGAUAACAGGCUGAUCUUGCCCAAGAGUCCAUAUCGACGGCAUGGUUUGGCACCUCGAUGUCGGCUCGUCGCAUCCUGGGGCUGGAGUAGGUCCCAAGGGUUGGGCUGUUCGCCCAUUAAAGCGGUACGCGAGCUGGGUUUAGAACGUCGUGAGACAGUUCGGUCCCUAUCCGCUGUGCGCGUAGGAAACUUGAGAAGAGCUGUCCCUAGUACGAGAGGACCGGGAUGGACGAACCUCUGGUGUGUCAGUUGUUCUGCCAAGAGCACGGCUGAUUAGCUACGUUCGGAAGUGAUAACCGCUGAAAGCAUCUAAGCGGGAAGCACGCUUCAAGAUGAGGUUUCCAUGGGCUUCGGCCCGAGAGGCUCCCAGCUAGACUACUGGGUUGAUAGGCCAGACGUGGAAGCACAGUAAUGUGUGUAGCUGACUGGUACUAAUAAGCCGAUAACUUGACACAACAAAG